UUAUCUUAAUGCAAUUUUUUCAAUCAGAAGAUCUCUUUAACAAGGGUAGGAACUCUGCUUCCUGGAGCUAUUGUAAUGAUUUGGGUCCAAUUCUACAGUCCCUGUUCCCAUUCAGGCAAAAAUUCCCUUUGAUGUCAUUGGGAACUUUGAGUGGGAGCUGAAUGGAGGAUGCUUUAUGACGAGGAUUUGGUGACUUCUAGAGCAAUUUUGAAAUCCAUAUGGUUGUCUCACCUGGAAGAGUUUCUUGCACUCAGCAAUCAUAUGGGCGAGGCCUUGAGUUGCAGCCAAGUUUUCAUUUAAAUCUUUCUGAUCAGGUUUGCCCAGACUCUGUUUUCUCUGCAUCACCCUACGGAGGAAGAAAAUAAACAAGUCAGUAUUAGUUAAUGGCUUGUAAGUAAGUAGUAUAACUGCACAAUGUCCUGAUGGCAUAGACUAGAGCUGCCUAGGACAGAAAAGUUUGAUGUAAUGUUAAAUGUUAUUGAUGACUUUUCUUGCUACUGCAGUUAUGCCUGUUCUGUGGCAAGUCUAACCCAUUGAAAACUUGUUCAUAGUUGUAAAUAGCCACACUGGCUGCCUAGCUGACCAUCAUGACCAGUUCCAGUAAAGAGAAUUGAGUGUUCAUAAUGGGAAAACAGACUCCACCUCGAGCUGUGGGGAUGCUGCUGACAUGACCUCAAAGGCUGGUUACCAGUCACAGUUCAAUGUCUUG